rnacentral:lncRNA from 1 species
GUGGGGGAGAAAGAGGGAAAUGCUCCCUACAGCUGGAAAAAAGAAAUAUUCUCACUGAUCCAGUGGAAAAGUCCUUCACACCACUGCCUUGUCGGAGACGGCCCCGCAGGAGCACCGCGUUUCUAAGGACACCGGCCCUGCGCAUUGCCGCUCCUGCACGGACGGACGGACUCUGCUCCCACUCACGUCAGCACUGGGCCUCAUCCAACAACGCGCUGCAGGGAUGAAUUGGGUUUCUGUGCGGUUUUUCCUGAAAGGGAGUCAAAUGACAGGAUUUAAAGUUGCCUCCAGCUUGAAACAGUGAAUGCCAAAGUGCACAUGCUGAGGUGGAACAUUCUCGUCUCCCUGCCUCUAGACACCGGCCACAUGACCAUACGCAUUAAUUUUACGUCUCUAAAAAGCGGUGAGAGGCUUCACACCAAGUGAUAUGAUUUUGAGUCUGAGAUGGUGCAGUGGACUCAGA